rnacentral:rRNA from 1 species
UACGGGGGGGGCAAGCGUUGUUCGGAAUUACUGGGCGUAAAGGGCUCGUAGGUGGCCAACUAAGUCGGACGUGAAAUCCCUCGGCUUAACCGGGGAACUGCGUCCGAUACUGGAUGGCUUGAGUUUGGGAGAGGGAUGCGGAAUUCCAGGUGUAGCGGUGAAAUGCGUAGAUAUCUGGAGGAACACCGGUGGCGAAGGCGGCAUCCUGGACCAACACUGACACUGAGGAGCGAAAGCCAGGGGAGCAAACGGG